rnacentral:rRNA from 1 species
CCUGGUGUUAUCAGCGCCAUGGAACCACUUCGACUCCAUCCCGAACUCGAAAGUGAAACAUGGCAGCGGCGAAGAUACUUGCUGGGUAGCUGGCUGGGAAAAUAGUUCGAUGCCAGGA